AUUGAACGCUGGCGGAAUGCUUUACACAUGCAAGUCGAACGGCAGCACGGACUUCGGUCUGGUGGCGAGUGGCGAACGGGUGAGUAAUACAUCGGAACGUGCCCAAUCGUGGGGGAUAACGUAGCGAAAGCUACGCUAAUACCGCAUACGAUCUAAGGAUGAAAGCGGGGGAUCGCAAGACCUCGCGCGAUUGGAGCGGCCGAUGGCAGAUUAGGUAGUUGGUGGGGUAAAGGCCUACCAAGCCGACGAUCUGUAGCGGGUCUGAGAGGAUGAUAAGCCACACUGGGACUGCGACACGGCCCAGACUCCUACGGGAGGCAGCAGUGGGGAAUUUUGGACAAUGGACGCAAGUCUGUUCCAGCCAUUCCGCGUGCAGGAUGAAGGCCCUCGGGUUGUAAACUGCUUUUGUACAGAACGAAAAGGCUCUGGUUAAUACCUAGGGCUCAUGACGGUACUGUAAGAAUAAGCACCGGCUAACUACGUGCCAGCAGCCGCCGUAA
rnacentral:rRNA from 1 species